UUGACAGGGGGUGGGGUGGGGUAUGGAGAGAGAGAGAGAGAGAGAGAGAGAGACAGAGAUAGAGAGAGAAAGACAGAGAGAAAGAGAGACACUGGGGUGGACAAAUGGUUCAGAGGUUUGGAGGUAGCAGAGCAAAUGAAAUGGAUUAGGGGAGUCUUAGGGGGAGUCUUUUCACAGAUACUUCUGAACUACUUUUGACUGUCUUCAUCCACAAUAACCUUGAUGAGCCGCAGACACUGACCCCCGGUCUCCAGCCAGCAAAAAUCCAUCAGUACCCCGAAAAAAAAGUUGAGACUAAAUUUCCUUUGAGGGGAAACAACAUCAAUCGUUUUUCAUUGAUAUUUUGGAGGGGAAGCAUGAGACCUUAGAGAUGAUAUUUUCAUGGCAAUUCCCUGCCUGUUUUUUGUACAGCCAAGAUGUUGAUAAUCUGAAGCCAGACAGGCAGAGAUUUGUUUGAUGUGUAGUUUUCUUGUCUUUAAAGAAAAAUCAUUUGUUGGUUUGAGUUUUAGGAACAUAGAUAUUUUACAUAAAACGUUGUCCUGGAUAUAACCCAAUAUAACACCUUACCUUGUCUUCAGUUAUAAUGUGUAAAUAUAUACUGUAAUAAUGUGUAAAUAUAUACUGGUAUAAUUUGUAAAUAUAUACUGGUAUAAUGUGUAAAUAUAUACUGUUAUAAUGUGUAAAUAUAUACUGCUAUAAUGUGUAAAUAUAUACUGUUAUAAUUUGUAAAUAUAUACUGCUAUAAUGUGUAAAUAUAUACUGGUAUAAUGUGUAAAUAUAUACUGUUAUAAUGUGUAAAUAUAUACUGUUAUAAUGUACAAAUAUAUACUGCUAUAAUGUGUAAAUAUAUACUGCUAUAAUGUGUAAAUAUAUACUGUCAAACACAAAAAGUCAGCAAUGCCAGCAAUGUUUCAUGCAAAAGUAAAUGUAUGAAUAUAUAAUUUCUUAUGUACGUAUGUGGCAGACAGAUGGAAGGACAUAUGGACAGGCAGUGCAUGUUAGGCCAGUACAUAUGCCUUCAAUAAGAAUGUGAAAAUGUGUAAGUUUGUAAUUACUGGUCUUGCCAACACAUGUCUGAAAGAAGAGAAUUGAGGAGCAGUGUACAAAUUACACUGACAUUUUGGGCAUUUUUGUAAGAAUGUUAAAUAGAUAAAUAUAUAUAUAUAUAUAUAUAUAUAUAUAUAUAUAUAUAUAUAUAAAAAUCACUUUCAGAGAUGCAUGUUGCCUCUUCUGUCCUUCUGGCCUGGUGCUCUAUUGGCCUACAGUAUAUCCACUCUAACCCAUCUGCAGAGGUGCAGUUGUGGAGCAUUGGCUUUCCACAGAGGCCAUGCCUGCGGUGUGGGAGGAAGUGAACCCAUUUAUAGGCUUAUCGCUGGAAAGGGCGAAGGACUAUGGAGUUACCAUAGUAAACAGAAACAGAAUCCACCUUCAACUGAGCGAUUAACAUAAAAAAACAACUGAAACACAGUACAUGGGAAACAAAUUCUAAAGACCGGCGUUGAAACCUUAAUCCAAUGUCUCCGUCUCUUCUUGAUGUCAUGCAAGUAUUGUCUUUAUUUAAUUUAAUUUGAGUCUGUAUGGAUAAACACCUGACCACAAGGUUUAAAUCACUGAUUAGCUUUUUGUGUUUAAUGACUAUGUUGUUUGCCUCUCUGUGCAUUUGAGUCUCCCUCCGCCAUGAUUAAUCACUUUUAAGUCCUUAUUUUCACGGGGCUCGGUCUUGACUUGGUCUCGUCUAACAAACCCUGCAUUCAGGCACACCGAGCUGUAUACAGUAGCAGGCAGCGUAAAUUAACCUAUACAAUGCAACUGCAUUCAAACCAGUGAACCAGUCACAUACAUUCCAGCGAGUGACAAAAGGCAAAACAAUAGCUCAAGCACGCUCACAAAAGCGCUUUGAAAAUUGAUUUCCUGACUGUGGGUGUCACUCAGUGACAUGCCACCAACUUCCUGCUAGAAUAAGAAAGCGCUAUUUCGAGACGCAAUCAAUAAGGACGGAGCGAGCCUCCGACGAACUGGCACACAAGCGCGCGAGGAAACAAAAGCCACAUACUAAUUAGCCUGCGGUUCUGCAGAGAGGCACACCAGAAGUAACAACAGCAUUUUCAGCAAACGGUUCCCCCGACCUCACCAUGAUAUUUUUAACAACAAUAGUGGAGGGGGCAAAAUAAUUGGCCAAAUAUUGAGCAUGCGUGGCCUUUUACCACUAUUUGUGCUGAUUACCCAGGCCACCAACACACUGAAGACCAGCGACCCACUCAAAAGCUGCGGAUGGUCAAAUGUAAAAUGCUUCUCUACGGCUCAGUGCUUCAAUUACGCUCAUACAACAGAAGCCAGGGCAUAAUGCUGGUAAUGAGCUGGCUGAGGCCAUGUUCAGUAGCAAAGGGUUCAAAUGAGAAGACUGAAAAAGUCACAGCGUACGAUGACUGAAACUAGACGGGGGAAACUUCAAGGGGAACCCUGAGGAAAUACAGAGCACCAAUAAACACGACACGACACGACACGGCACAACAAUAACACAUUCAUGGUUCCCCGUUGCCACAAAAGUGAAAACCUCUCACCAUUUUAAAAUAAGAUGCAUCUCUACAAAAUGUAAUCCAAAGUACCUUCUCUGCAGGGUCAAAAAUUGAAAGGGAAUAGGAAACUAAACUAAAAAAAAAACUAAAACAACAUAAUCUGUUGCUGAUGCAUUCAUGAUAAAUAGAACCCCAACAUAAUCUGGUGCUGAUGCGUUCAUGAUAAAUAGAACCCCGACAUAAUCUGGUGCUGAUGCAUUCAUGAUAAAUAGUGCAGAAAGCAUCAUGACAGCGUGAGCUUAUGUGCUGUGGUGUGGCGGCUUCUUGCUGUGUUUCCACAAGACUGGACAGGCCGGUGCCCUGAGCCCUGAGCCCUGAGCCCUGCACUGACUGGGGCCGCCACCCUCAAGGGGCUGAACAUCAG
ensembl:lncRNA